AGCCAGACAGUUCUGUGAAGGUGGUGUGUGACAUGUUGCCAGAUCUGCAAGUGAUGGGCAGCUAUGGUCGGUCUCAAAUCGGGUCUGUAAGGACUGUCAUUCUAAGAUGUAGUUGAUAGUCACUGUAUCUUCUGCCAACUAAAUCACAGCUGGCCAACACUUGACUGGUUUAGGUUGCUUGUUUAGGUGACCAAAGUCUUUUGUUCCUAAGUG
rnacentral:lncRNA from 1 species